UAAAAUUAAAUAAUAAAGUACAAUAGUUAAUUAAUUUUCUAAAACAUAAAUUUUUAUAAAAAAAACCGCUACAAAACUUACGAAAAUUUUCAGUUUUUCUGGUUCAACUAUUCAAACAUUUUAAAAUUUUGAUUUUUCUACCUAACAAUUCGAUUUAUCUGAUUUGAGCCGGUACCUUAUAUACUUUGAUUUUAAAAUUUAAGUUAGUUAAAAACUUCAACAAUGCAUUUAAUUUUAUAGUCAAAAUAUCGAUAACUAGGGCUUAGUUUGGUAUUGGGACUUAUCUGAUGCUCGUAACCGACUCAUCGCGAUAUGCGGAAUGUAAUAAACAAAAUAUUUUUUUAUCAUACCUUUUCACCGCAAGUAAUACAAUUUUUUUGAAAUUUCUCACAAUCCCAAACAAACAAAGUCUAACUCAAAUUAAAUAAGUUGAAAAAUUAAAUAACAAUCCAAUCAAAGUGGGUCCAUAGUUUAUAUAAAUUUUGAGCGUUUUUAUCAUUUAUAUAAUUUAGUGAGAUAUAUUAUUUAACAAGUAAAAUUUUAUGCUAAUAAUAAAUAUAUGAUAUAGAAAUAUAAAUAAAAAAUCAUCCUAUAAGUAAAAUAUCAAAUUGACAC
rnacentral:lncRNA from 1 species